rnacentral:rRNA from 1 species
UACAGAGGGUGCGAGCGUUAAUCGGAAUUACUGGGCGUAAAGCGCGCGUAGGCGGCUUUGCAAGUCGGGUGUGAAAUCCCCAGGCUUAACCUGGGAACUGCAUUCGAGACUGCAUUGCUAGAGUAUGGGAGAGGGAAGUGGAAUUUCCGGUGUAGCGGUGAAAUGCGUAGAUAUCGGGAGGAACACCAGUGGCGAAGGCGACUACCUGGCCUGUUUCUUGACGCUGAGGCGCGAAAGCCAGGGGAGCGAACGGG